rnacentral:rRNA from 1 species
UACGGAGAGUGCGAACGUUGUUCGGAUUCACUGGGCGUAAAGGCUCGUAGGUGGCCAACUAAGUCAUACGUGAAAUCCCUCGGCUUAACCGGGGAACUGCGUCUGAUACUGGAUGGCUUGAGGUUGGGAGAGGGAUGCGGAAUUCCAGGUGUAGCGGUGAAAUGCGUAGAUAUCAGGAGGAACACCGGUGGCGAAGGCGGUUCUCUGGCAAUGUUCUGACGCUGAGGAGCGAAAGUGUGGGGAGCGAACAGG